UCCAGCUGACCUGCACCAUACUGCUGACAUCCCUGGCAAGCUCUCUAUAACUCCUCCUGUCAGCUCGUGCUCACCACAGCUAUGGAACUUCUUUCCUACUCUCCUCCAGGUAAACAGAAGGCCCCAGAAAAAAUUAAAAUAAAAUAAAAUAAAACAAAAUAAUAAAAUAAAAUAAAAUAAAAUAAAAUAAAAUAAAAUAAAAUAAAUCUUAACUUGUGGUGGAUCUGAUGAGCCUCAAGAAUUUGAGUGGUUCCAUUAAACUUGAUGGGGAUACUCACUGGUUUCAGGCUACACGAGUAGGCAGAGUCUGUACUGGAUCAGGCCCACAAUGAGUAGGAGUGAAACAAUGGGCCACUAUGACAUUUCAUUAGAAAUGUUUAAUAAGUAUCUGGAGUGUGGGAGGAAACACCUCAAGAAUUGAAAAGCCCCCUCCAAAGGAGAGAAAUUACCACUGAACUUAGAGAAAAGUAGGGGGGAUACUCAGCUAGACACUGGGAUAAAAUCCAGCUCUUUUCAUUUCACUACUCUGAUAUGUGGACCAGGAUGGAGUGAACUACAGAGGAGAAAGACACACCUCAGGAACAACCAGGAAGCUUGUUUGGAGAAAAUACCUAUCACUCAAACCUGGCUUUUAUCACUCAGCUCCAUCAUCAUGCACAGCUGAUGUGGGGAAUCUGGAAACUGAAGAACACCGUUAGUGAUGAGCUGCAGCAGAAACAGAGGCACCCAGACAGAGCAAUGCAGCUGAAACAGAUUAUUCCUAUUCAACAAAAGGAGACAACAAAGUCGUCAUUACGGUAACUCAAAAGAGCUUUGUCUUCAUGAAGGUAAAACCAAUACUUGCUUUGUUGCUAUAGUGAAAAUUAUCAUAGCUAAUAAACUUGUACUUAAAGAAGAAUUUUUAGUUUUA
rnacentral:lncRNA from 1 species